rnacentral:rRNA from 1 species
AUUGAACGCUGGCGGCAGGCCUAACACAUGCAAGUCGAGCGGAUGAAGGGAGCUUGCUCCUGGAUUCAGCGGCGGACGGGUGAGUAAUGCCUAGGAAUCUGCCUGGUAGUGGGGGAUAACGUCCGGAAACGGGCGCUAAUACCGCAUCCGUCCUGAGGGAGAACGUGGGGGAUCUUCGGACCUCACGCUAUCAGAUAAGCCUAGGUCGGAUUAGCUAGUUGGUGGGGUAAAGGCCUACCAAGGCGACGAUCCGUAACUGGUCUGAGAGGAUGAUCAGUCACACUGGAACUGAGACACGGUCCAGACUCCUACGGGAGGCAGCAGUGGGGAAUAUUGGACAAUGGGCGAAAGCCUGAUCCAGCCAUGCCGCGUGUGUGAAGAAGGUCUUCGGAUUGUAAAGCACUUUAAGUUGGGAGGAAGGGCAGUAAGUUAAUACCUUGAUGUUUUGACGUUACCAACAGAAUAAGCACCGGCUAACUUCGUG